CCCAACAACUAUAGCCCCUUUUUCACUUUUUUUCCUUUUUUUUUUGUCUUUCUUUCAUACGAAGGAGGCAUCAUCGUCGUCGGGGUAUAAUAGACACGAGAUUGAGACGGUGGAGCUAAGAAAAUGAAGCCCUUUCGCACAUUCUUCUUGAUUCUCCUCUCGCUGCUUGUUCUCGUUGAAUCUUCAUGCAAAAACGAAGACCAGGGGCUUGUGUCAAAGGCCUUCCAAUCCGUGUCUGGAUUCAACGCUUCCAAAGGUUCCAUUUUUAAGUGUUCUAAUAAUGCUGAGAUUGAGGGGAUAAAUCUCUCAUCCAAAAACCUAAGUGGAAGCAUCUCGUGGAAGUAUCUGAGGAACAUGUCCAUGUUACAGGUUCUGGAUCUGUCUGGGAAUUUUCUUCAAGGCCAGGUUCCAAACUGGUUUUGGACAAGCUCAACCUUAGUAACAGUGAACCUUUCCAACAACAGGUUGGGAGGGAGCAUCAACCCCACUUCUCAAAACGGUUUCUUUUCAUCACUGCAAACGCUAAACCUCUCCCACAACAGGUUCACCAACCAGCUUCACCUCUCCGCUUUCUCAAACCUUAAAAGCCUCGACCUUUCGCACAACAACCUCGGAACCAUGCCUUCCGGCUUCCAAAACCUCACCCAUCUACACCACCUCGACCUCUCCAACUGCAACAUCAAAGGAAACGUAAAACCCAUUUCUUCCCUCACCUCACUCUCCUUCUUGGACCUAUCCAACAACACCUUAAACGGUAGCUUCCCCUCCGACUUCCCUCCCCUGAACGCCAUCAAGUUCCUCAACAUCUCCCGCAACAACUUCAAAGCAUCCACUACGCUAGACAGGUUCAAGAAAUUCGGGAAAUCCGCGUUCAUUCACGCCGGCCACAACUUCAACUACAACGCAUCCAAAACAGCAAAGCUAAGUUCAAGCUCAAGUUCAAGUUCACACGAAGAGCCCCACCCCAUUCACGAGGUGAAACAAAAGUCAAAACAGAAAACCAGAAUCAUGAUUGUUGCCUUGUCCUGUUCCUCGGCACUAGUGGUUGUCGUGUUGUGCACGUGCGCGGUGUGGUGUUGCAGAAGGAAGAGGCAAUUGGCGAAGAGGAACAAGUGGGCGAUAUCGAAGCCGGUCCCAGUGAGCAUGAAGAUGGAGAAAUCAGGACCUUUUGCGUUUGAAACAGAGUCGGGGACGUCGUGGGUGGCGGACCUGAAAGAACCGUCUUCCGCCGCCGUGGUGAUGUUGGAGAAGCCGCUGAUGAACCUCAGCUUCGUGGACCUCAUCGCUGCCACGUCACACUUCGGCAAAGACUCUCUCCUGGCUGAGGGAAGGUGUGGGCCCGUUUAUCGCGCUGUCUUACCCGGAGACAUCCACGUGGCAAUCAAGGUCCUCGAAAACGCCAGAGAGGUCCAUCAUCAUGACGCUGUCGCUCACUUCCUUCACCUUUCUCAACUCAAACACCCCAAUCUCUUGCCCCUCUCGGGUUACUGCAUUGCAGGGAAGGAGAAGCUGGUGUUGUACGAGUUUAUGUCAAACGGGGAUUUAGGCAGGUGGCUGCAUGAGCUACCAACGGGGGAGACUAACGUCGAGGAUUGGAGUGGUGACACGUGGGAGAUUAUUCAAAACGGUGGCGUUUCACGGGAGAAGAUGGGGUGGCCGAUACGCCACCGUAUUGCCGUCGGGGUGGCGCGUGGGUUGGCGUUUCUCCACCACGCUGGGUCGAGGCCCGUCGUGCACGGCCAUCUGGUCACGUCGAACGUGCUUCUGGGCGACGACUUCGAGCCGAGAAUCGCGGACUUCGGGUUUCGGAGGCUGGGGCGAGAGAGUGGUGGCGCCAGCUGCAGCACGGAGACGGACGUUUACUGCUUCGGGGUGGUGCUGAUGGAGCUGCUGACGGGGAGGGCCGGCACGGCGGAGACGGUGGUUUGGGUGAGGAAGGUGGUGAGGGAGGGGCACGGGGUGAGGGCGUUGGAUGAGAGGCUCACCCUCGGCGGCGGUGACUCGGAGAGUGAGAUGGUGGAGAGCCUCCGAGUCGCUUAUUUGUGUACGGCCGAGUCCCCGGGGAAGAGGCCCACCAUGCAACAGGUUUUGGGCCUUCUCAAAGAUAUUCACCCGAGUCAUGGACUCGACUGAGUUGCAUAGCACGUGCCACUCGAGUUUUGGAAUGUAAAUGUAUAUACAAAAAGUUUAUUAAAGUGAAAAAGGUGGAGAAAAAGAAGGUAGCUUAGCUUGAGAGAUUGUGUUAUGUGACGUAUCUUUUUUGUGUUUUGGAAAGAAUAUCCUCCGGUAGAUGAGAUAGAUGCACCUGUGUCUCUACACUUGCUACAGGUAACGUGUUUGUUUUAUUGAAACAAAGGGACCAUGUGCCCUUGUCAUAAUCGAAGCGUGAUGGGGUCAAUGACUCUUUCCAUUAGUAGGUAAGGUGCUGCUCUUAUUUGUCAAUAUUGUACGCUAAUUUCUCUGAGUGGGGCUGUGCCUUCCAAAAGUUGUGUGCAUGUUUAAGAGGUCCAGUGUUGAGUGAUUAAUUAAUUUUCGAUAGAAUAUAUCUCAUUAAGGGGAUCAUUUAGACAUUAUUAUGAACAUGAAAUGAGAAAAGAAUAACUUGUCCACCAACGCGGAAAAAAAGAUUUGAAAAUCAUUUCAGGUGUUUGCAUUUGCGUUUUUGCUGUCGAUUGUUGAACUAGCAUACAGCUAGCACUUGUUGUAUUGGGUAGCUUAUGUCAAACUAUUUUGACUCUUGUGACAAUGAAAUGAAAUGGCAUGUGUGUAUAAAAUCUUGGGACAAUGACUACUAAUCUAGAACUAGGGAAUUUCUGUACCAUUGAAGUUUCAUAUCCUCUUGUUGUACUUAAAAUAAAUUCUCCUGAUGACGCUUUAUAGUUUAUACAUUGAUGUGAAUUUCAUCACCGAUUUAGAUGGGUAAACUGUAGUAAUUUUGAUUAAUAUUUUAUUGGGACAGCAUAGCAUUAUUGUUGUUCUUCUUUCCCUGACAUGACGUGGAAGAAAAUUGUUCAGAAAUUUCAUUUGCUGCAGAAAAUAAUAAGGAACAUUUUGCACGUCAAUGUCCACUUUAAUUUCAGCUGCUUUUUAGUUAGCUAGCCAGCUAGAUUUACGUGUCCUUGAAUCCAUCUGUACGUGGUGUUGGAUGAUAAUUCA